AUUGAACGCUGGCGGCAUGCCUUACACAUGCAAGUCGAACGGCAGCACGGGUGCUUGCACCUGGUGGCGAGUGGCGAACGGGUGAGUAAUACAUCGGAACAUGUCCUGUAGUGGGGGAUAGCCCGGCGAAAGCCGGAUUAAUACCGCAUACGAUCUAUGGAUGAAAGCGGGGGACCUUCGGGCCUCGCGCUAUAGGGUUGGCCGAUGGCUGAUUAGCUAGUUGGUGGGGUAAAGGCCUACCAAGGCGACGAUCAGUAGCUGGUCUGAGAGGACGACCAGCCACACUGGGACUGAGACACGGCCCAGACUCCUACGGGAGGCAGCAGUGGGGAAUUUUGGACAAUGGGCGAAAGCCUGAUCCAGCAAUGCCGCGUGUGUGAAGAAGGCCUUCGGGUUGUAAAGCACUUUUGUCCGGAAAGAAAUCCUUGGACCUAAUACGGUCGGGGGAUGACGGUACCGGAAGAAUAAGCACCGGCUAACUACGUG
rnacentral:rRNA from 1 species